rnacentral:ncRNA from 1 species
CAGAGUAGGGGAUCCCGCGUGAAGUGCUGUCAAGAUGGGGAGUUGUGUGACAGACGAAGGGCUUGCUGCCCGCGAUGGGAUCACCGCACCCGCUGC